GACGAACGCUGGCGGCGUGCCUAAUACAUGCAAGUUGAGCGAUGAAGAUUGGUGCUUGCACCAAUUUGAAGAGCAGCGAACGGGUGAGUACGCGUGGGGAAUCUGCCUUUGAGCGGGGGACAACAUUUGGAAACGAAUGCUAAUACCGCAUAACAACUUUAAACAUAAGUUUUAAGUUUGAAAGAUGCAAUUGCAUCACUCAAAGAUGAUCCCGCGUUGUAUUAGCUAGUUGGUGAGGUAAAGGCUCACCAAGGCGAUGAUACAUAGCCGACCUGAGAGGGUGAUCGGCCACAUUGGGACUUAGACACGGCCCAAACUCCUACGGGAGGCAGCAGUAGGGAAUCUUCGGCAAUGGACGAAAGUCUGACCGAGCAACGCCGCGUGAGUGAAGAAGGUUUUCGGAUCGUAAAACUCUGUUGGUAGAGAAGAACGUUGGUGAGAGUGGAAAGCUCAUCAAGUGACGGUAACUACCCAGAAAGGGACGGCUAACUACGUG
rnacentral:rRNA from 1 species